rnacentral:rRNA from 1 species
GUUUUCCUACGGGACGCAGCAGCGAGGAAUAUUGGUCAAUGGCCGGAAGGCUGAACCAGCCAUGCCGCGUGGAGUUCAGUGCCCUAUGGGCGUUAAACUUCUUUUGUGCGGGAGCAAUAAUGGUCACGUGUGGCCAGACGAGAGUACCGUACGAAUAAGCAUCGGCUAACUCCGUGCCAGCAGCCGCGGUAAUACGGUGGAUGCAAGCGUUAUCCGGAUUUAUUGGGUUUA